rnacentral:rRNA from 1 species
CCUAUCAACUGUUUAAAAAGUAUGGUUCUGCUAUCACUCUUGGAUGGACCUGCGGUGCAUUAGCUAGUUGGUAGGGUAACGGCCUACCAAGGCGAUGAUGCAUAGCCGAGUUGAGAGACUGAUCGGCCACAUUGGGACUGAGACACGGCCCAAACUCCUACGGGAGGCAGCAGUAGGGAAUCUUCCACAAUGGACGCAAGUCUGAUGAGCAACGCCGCGUGAGUGAAGAAGGGUUUCGGCUCGUAAAGCUCUGUUGUUGGUGAAGAAGGACAGGGGUAGUAACUGACCUUUGUUUGACGGUAAUCAAUUAGAAAGUCACGGGCUAACUACGUGCCAGCAGCCGCGGUAAAU